rnacentral:lncRNA from 1 species
UGUGGCUAACUUAUAGCUAGUGACUAUGUGGCUAACUUAUAGCUAGUGACUAUGUGGCUAACUAAUAGCUAAUAACUAGAUGGCAAACCUAGGUAACUAGUAACUAUGUGGCACACCAAGGUAGCUAGUAAUUAGGGGGCAAACUUAAGCAGCUAGUGAAUAGAUGGCAAACUGAGGAAGCUAGUGACUAAGUGGCAAGUUGAGGUAGUUGGUGACUAGGUGGCAAGUUGAGGUAGCUGGUGACUAAGUGGCAAGUUGAGGUAGCUGGUGACUAAGUGGUAUACUUGGGUAGUUAGUGACUAUGUGGCAAACUUAAGGUAGCUGGUGACUAAGUGGUAUACUUGGGUAGUUAGUGACUAUGUAACAAACUUAAGAACCUAGUGACUAAGUGGCAAGUUUUAGUAGCUAGUGACAAGGUGGCAAACUUAGUUUGCUAGUGACUAGGCAACAAACUUUGGUAGCUAGUGACUAACAGGUAAACUUUGACUAGGUAGUAUACUUAAGUAGCUAGUGAGUAGAUGGCAAACUAAGG